rnacentral:rRNA from 1 species
UACGGGGGGAGCAAGCGUUGUUCGGAUUUACUGGGCGUAAAGGGCGCGUAGGCGGUCAGCACAAGUCAGUUGUGAAAUCUCCGGGCUUAACUCGGAAAGGUCAACUGAUACUGUGCGACUAGAGUGCAGAAGGGGCAACUGGAAUUCUCGGUGUAGCGGUGAAAUGCGUAGAUAUCGAGAGGAACACCUGCGGCGAAGGCGGGUUGCUGGGCUGACACUGACGCUGAUGCGCGAAAGCCAGUGGAGCGAACGGG